rnacentral:rRNA from 1 species
AGCCUCUACAAGCGUAUGCAAAAGUUGCUGCGUUUAAAAAGCUCAUAGUUGGAUCUGUUUGGGCGUAACGGUAACAUGGUGUUCAGUUAAAUCUGUUCACUCGUUACUCCCAUCCUUCGCAUCGAAGAAAUAGUUUGCACUUAAAUGUGACGAACUGUGGAAACGGUGUUUUCACUUUGAGAAAAUUAGAGUGUUCAAAGCAUCCUUUGGGAUUGAAUAAUAAAGCAUGGAAUAAUGGAGAAUGACCCGCGUAUUGUUUGAUGCCGGUGGCUAAUAUGCGGUAAUGAUUGAAAGGAACAGCCGGGGGCAUUUGUAUUGCUACGUUAGAGGUGAAAUUCUUGGAUCGUGGCAAGACAAACUACUGCGAAAGCAUUUGCCAAGAAUGUUUUCA